UUUUAAGAGACAUUUGGGAUGGUCACAAC
rnacentral:piRNA from 1 species